rnacentral:rRNA from 1 species
AGCGAACGCUGGCGGCAGGCUUAACACAUGCAAGUCGAGCGGACCUUUCGGGGUCAGCGGCGGACGGGUGAGUAACGCGUGGGAACGUGCCUUCCGGUUCGGAAUAACCCUGGGAAACUAGGGCUAAUACCGGAUACGCCCUUAUGGGGAAAGGUUUACUGCCGGAAGAUCGGCCCGCGUCUGAUUAGCUAGUUGGUGGGGUAACGGCCUACCAAGGCGACGAUCAGUAGCUGGUCUGAGAGGAUGAUCAGCCACACUGGGACUGAGACACGGCCCAGACUCCUACGGGAGGGAGCAGUGGGGAAUAUUGGAGAAUGGGGGCAAGCCUGAUCCAGCCAUGCCGCGGGAGUGAUGAAGGCCGUAGGGUUGUAAAGCUCUUUUAUCCGGGACGAUAAUGACGGUACCGGAGGAAUAAGCCCCGGCUAACUUCGUG